rnacentral:rRNA from 1 species
UACGAAGGGGGCUAGCGUUGUUCGGAUUUACUGGGCGUAAAGCGCACGUAGGCGGAUCGUUAAGUGAGGGGUGAAAUCCCAGGGCUCAACCCUGGAACUGCCUUUCAUACUGGCGAUCUUGAGUCCGGAAGAGGUGAGUGGAACUCCUAGUGUAGAGGUGGAAUUCGUAGAUAUUAGGAAGAACACCAGUGGCGAAGGCGGCUCACUGGUCCGGUACUGACGCUGAGGUGCGAAAGCGUGGGGGAGCAAACAGG